rnacentral:rRNA from 1 species
GGAUUAGAUACCCUGGUAGUCCUAGCCGUAAACGAUGGGCACUAGGUAGUGGCAGGUCUGACCCUGUCGCUGCUGGAGCUAAUGUAUUAAGUGCCCCGCCUGGGGAGUAUGGUCGCAAGGCUAAAACUCAAAGGAAUUGACGGGGGCUCACACAAGCGGUGGAGCAUGUGGUUUAAUUCGAAACAACGCGCAGAACCUUACCUGGGUUUGACAUGCAUGGAUUAGCUUCCUGAAAGGGAAGUGACGCGGGUAACCGUGGAACGUGCACAGGUGCUGCAUGGCUGUCGUCAGCUCGUGCCG